AGCUGCUCUUCCUUACCCAGACGGGACAGUCGUGGACCACCAGCUUGACAUUCCCAAACGCACUGGCCUGAUACUCGGUGAACACCGGACGCGCGACCGUGCUGGCCGCGUUCAGCAACAAGCUGCUCUCGUCCCCGGAGACCAGAGGGCUUCUCCCCAGGUUCAGCCAUUUAGGAAAGAUUGGUGACCUAUCUGCAUGAUGGCAUUAACUACAAGGAUCAUCGAAGAGCCACAGUCACAAAGCCAGUCUCUGAAUAUGGUUCAAAGAAAUCUUAUAACUCUCUGAACAGGACGUGUAUUCGUCAACACUACUUGGAGGGCCGGUACUUCCAAGGAAGUCACCUUUGCAGUCGAUCUAUGUGCACUGUUCUCAGAGCCAGCUCGCACCCAUGAAGAACAACACAACUUACCGGUCAUAGGAGCAGAAAGUGUCAACCUUGCAGCAGGAUUUGGACACUCUGGGAGCCAAACUGGAUGUGGAAGCUCCAAAGGUUUACAAAGUCCUCUUGGAGAAGCAGAUUCCUGUGGGAACCUGGUUAAAUCUCCCAAGCUAGCAGUGUUUUUACUACAAUAAGACAGUGAUUAAUUGUGUCCCACUGGGCACUGUCCUGAUA
rnacentral:lncRNA from 1 species